rnacentral:rRNA from 1 species
UAGGGAAUCUUCGGCAAUGGGGGCAACCCUGACCGAGCAACGCCGCGUGAGUGAAGAAGGUUUUCGGAUCGUAAAGCUCUGUUGUAAGUCAAGAACGAGUGUGAGAGUGGAAAGUUCACACUGUGACGGUAGCUUACCAGAAAGGGACGGCUAAAUACGUGCCAGCAGCCGCGGUAAUACGUAGGUCCCGAGCGUUGUCCGGAUUUAUUGGGCGUAAAGCGAGCGCAGGCGGUUUGAUAAGUCUGAAGUUAAAGGCUGUGGCUCAACCAUAGUUCGCUUUGGAAACUGUCAAACUUGAGUGCAGAAGGGGAGAGUGGAAUUCCAUGUGUAGCGGUGAAAUGCGUAGAUAUAUGGAGGAACACCGGUGGCGAAAGCGGCUCUCUGGUCUGUAACUGACGCUGAGGCUCGAAAGCGUGGGGAGCGAACAGGAUUAGAUACCCUGGUAGUCCACGCCGUAAACGAUGAGUGCUAGGUGUUGGAUCCUUUCCGGGAUUCAGUGCCGUAGCUAACGCAUUAAGCACUCCGCCUGGGGAGUACGACCGCAAGGUUG